GCUUUCCAAAUCUUGAAUGGGUGUUUGAGAUAGUAGUGAUUUUGACUUAACGAGGUGAGGACUGGGAGCUUGAACUUGAGUGCUCACACAUGGCAGCGUGUACGCUUUACCAGGUGGGCCACCACCUGCUCCAAAUCCUUUCCACCUUUGGCCUAUGAGAGUUCACACCUGCUCCAUAAGGGAAAUGGCGUUAUGAGGAUCUCCAUUUAUAGCUACCAGAUUCCAGAUGCUACCAUGAUGCCAGCCUGACUUCCGUGUGCAGAGGACCCAGACCCCACCAAUGUGUCCUGGAGCCCUGCCUCCCCAGACUCCUACCCCACUAGGGAAAGAGAGAGACAGGCUGGGAGUAUGGAUAGACAUAUCAACGCUUAUGUUCAGUAGGGAAGCAAUUACAGAAGCCAGACCUUCCACCUUCUGUACCCUAUAAUGAUCCUGGGUCUAUGCUCUCAGAGGGAUAAAGAAUAGGAAAGCUUUCAAGAGAGGGGAUUGGGUAUGGAAUUCUUGUGUUCACAAUAGGGUGGAAUUGUAGCCCUCUUAUCCUAUAGUCUUGUCAAUAUUUCCAUUUUAUAGAUAAAAAUUUUUUAAAAAGUAGUAGAGAGGAACAAUGGGAUACCACUCGGGUCUGAGAAAGAAGAGAUCUUGUCAUAGGCAACAACAUAGUUGGAAAUGGUGAAUGUUAUACUAAGCAUUAGUUAAAAAAAAAAAAGACCGAUGAGGUGGGAGAGACAGCAUAAUGUUAUGCAAAAAACACUCUCGUGCCUGAGGUUCUUGGGCCCCGGGUUCAACCUCCAGCACCACCACAAGCCAGAGCUGAGCAGUGCUGGUAAAACAAAAUAAAUAAUGAAAGAAUAAUAAUAAAUCUUAAAAGAAAGGCAGGGCAGGGGUUGAUAGCAUAACGAUUAGGCGAACAGACGCUCAUGCCUGAGGCUCCAUAGUCCCAGGUUCAAAUCCCCUGCACUACCAUAAGCCAGAGCUGAGCAGUGCUCUGGUAAAAAAGAAAAAAAUAAAGAAAGAAAGAAAAAAGUCUCCCUCGUUUGUAGGAUAUCAAGAAACCAAGCAAGGGAACAGACAACGCUAACCCUUGAAUUCAGACCAUAGAACUGGGGCUGCUAGAGGUUGUGCGACAAAAGGUGCA